GUACGCUGGCGGCACGCCUAACACAUGCAAGUCGAACGAAGUAGCAAUACUUAGUGGCAGACGGGUGAGUAACAUGUAGGUAUCUGCCCUUUGGCCUGGAAUAACACGAGGAAACUUGUGCUAAUACCGGAUAAGUCUUUACGGAGAAAGCUUUAUGCACCAUUGGAUGAGCCUGCACUUGAUUAGUUUGUUGGUGGGGUAAUGGCCUACCAAGACUGUGAUCAAUAGCUGAUUUGAGAGGAUGAUCAGCCACAUUGGGACUGAGACACGGCCCAAACUCCUACGGGAGGCAGCAGUGGGGAAUCUUGCACAAUGGAGGAAACUCUGAUGCAGCGAUGCCGCGUGAGUGAAGAAGGCCUUUGGGUUGUAAAGCUCUUUCGUCGGGGAAGAAAAUGACUGUACCCGAAUAAGAAGGUCCGG
rnacentral:rRNA from 1 species